rnacentral:rRNA from 2 species
UAGCGGAGGAAAAGCAAACUCAACUGGGAUUACCUUAGUAACGGCGAGUGAAGCGGUAAAAGCUCAAAUUUGAAAUCUGGUACUUUCAGUGCCCGAGUUGUAAUUUGUAGAAUUUGUCUUUGAUUAGGUCCUUGUCUAUGUUCCUUGGAACAGGACGUCAUAGAGGGUGAGAAUCCCGUUUGGCGAGGAUACCUUUUCUCUGUAAGACUUUUUCGAAGAGUCGAGUUGUUUGGGAAUGCAGCUCAAAGUGGGUGGUAAAUUCCAUCUAAAGCUAAAUAUUGGCGAGAGACCGAUAGCGAACAAGUACAGUGAUGGAAAGAUGAAAAGAACUUUGAAAAGAGAGUGAAAAAGUACGUGAAAUUGUUGAAAGGGAAGGGCAUUUGAUCAGACAUGGUGUUUUUUUAAUGUGCAAGUCUCUCGUGGACAUGUGCCUCUGGAAAUUAACACUGGGCCAACAUCAGUUCUGGCGGCAGGAUAAAUCAUUAAGAAUGUAGCUACCUCGGUAGUGUUAUAGCUUUUUGGAAUACUGCCAGCUGGGAUUGAGGACUGCGCUUCGGCAAGGAUGUUGGCAUAAUGAGUUAAAUGCCGCCCGUCUUGCACGGACA